CAUUCACGGAGAGUUUGAUCCUGGCUCAGGACGAACGCUGGCGGCGUGCUUAACACAUGCAAGUCGAACGAUGAAGCCCUUCGGGGUGGAUUAGUGGCGAACGGGUGAGUAACACGUGGGCAAUCUGCCCUGCACUCUGGGACAAGCCCUGGAAACGGGGUCUAAUACCGGAUAUGACCAUCUUGGGCAUCCUUGAUGGUGUAAAGCUCCGGCGGUGCAGGAUGAGCCCGCGGCCUAUCAGCUUGUUGGUGAGGUAACGGCUCACCAA
rnacentral:rRNA from 1 species